UACGUAGGUGGCGAGCGUUGUCCGGAUUUACUGGGCGUAAAGCGUCCGCAGGCGGCCGACUAAGUUGGGGGUGAAAGGUUGGGGCUCAACCCCAAAGCUGCCCCCAAUACUGGUUGGCUGGAGUCUCGGAGAGGAGAACGGAACUGCACGUGUAGCGGUGAAAUGCGUUGAGAUGUGCAGGAACACCAGUGGCGAAAGCGGUUCUCUGGACGAGUACUGACGCUGGGGGACGAAAGCCAGGGGAGCGAACGGG
rnacentral:rRNA from 1 species